UACGUAGGUGACAAGCGUUGUCCGGAUUUACUGGGCGUAAAGAGCGCGCAGGCGGUCGAUCAAGUCGAGUGUGAAAGCCCCCGGCUCAACUGGGGAGGGUCAUUCGAUACUGAUCGACUCGAAGGCAGGAGAGGGUAGUGGAAUUCCCGGUGUAGUGGUGAAAUGCGUAGAUAUCGGGAGGAACACCGGUGGCGAAGGCGGUUCUCUGGGCCUGUACUGACGCUGAGGAGCGAAAGCGUGGGGAGCGAACAGG
rnacentral:rRNA from 1 species